rnacentral:rRNA from 1 species
AUGAACGCUGGCGGCGUGCCUAAUACAUGCAAGUCGCGCGAACAGACGAGGAGCUUGCUCCUCUGACGUUAGCGGCGGACGGGGGAGUAACACGUGGAUAACCUACCUAUAAGACUGGGAUAACUUCGGGAAACCGGAGCUAAUACCGGAUAAUAUAUUGAACCGCAUGGGUCAAUAGUGAAAGACGGUUUUGCUGUCACUUAUAGAUGGAUCCGCGCCGCAUUAGCUAGUUGGUAAGGUAACGGCUUACCAAGGCAACGAUGCGUAGCCGACCUGAGAGGGUGAUCGGCCACACUGGAACUGAGACACGGUCCAGACUCCUACGGGAGGCAGCAGUAGGGAAUCUUCCGCAAUGGGCGAAAGCUUGACGGAGCAACGCCGCGUGAGUGAUGAAGGUCUUCGGAUCGUAAAACUCUGUUAUUAGGGAAGAACAAAUGUGUAAGUAACUAUGCACGUCUUGACGGUACCUAAUCAGAAAGCCACGGCUAACUACGUG